rnacentral:rRNA from 1 species
AUACGGAGGGUGCAAGCGUUACUCGGAAUCACUGGGCGUAAAGCGCGCGCAGGCGGUCUUUUAAGUUGGAUGUGAAAGCCUACGGCUCAACCGUAGAACUGCAUCCAAAACUAUUAGACUAGAGUGUGGGAGAGGAAGAUGGAAUUAGUUGUGUAGGGGUAAAAUCCGUAGAGAUAACUAGGAAUACCAAAAGCGAAGGCAAUCUUCUGGAACACUACUGACGCUGAGGCGCGAAAGCGUGGGGAGCAAACAGCAUUAGAUACCCUAGUAGUCC